GCAUCAAGAGAGCAUCCCAGCAGUGCCAUCACAACACAGGGCUCGAAUGUGGACAGGAGGAGGACCUAAGUGGACCCGGAGGCUGAGCUGGCCUCGCAGCACUGGUGGUGGGGGAGGGCUGAUGGUCAGGACUCUGGGUCUUUGGCACUGCUGCCUAGGCCGUGGCCCUCAGUCUGCCCAUCUGUGAAAUGAGGGGGAGCUGGUCCUGACUGCCUCCCAGGGACCCUGUGAAAAGCCGCUCUGAACUCCUUGCCAGAGAGGAGGUUUGCCGGUGCCACAAUCCAGGUCUGUGGGUUUCCCUAUCAAGCUGGUCUUUCUGUAAUAAGCAGGGAGACAAAGGAUUUUGGGGUCCCCACUAUGAUGUAAACCCUGUGCUGGGUGGGGUAGGGGUUCAGAAGCAGAAGUUGUGUUUUCAGCCUCAGGGAGCUCUAGUGGAGAGACAAGAUUCGUGCAUGAAAUAAUUACGACUGUUGUAGAAAAAAGAAAAGCCUGUAGGUCUCCCUUCCUCCCUCCUUCUCUCUGUCUACCUCAGCAUUUCUGGGGUUCACUCUGCUCUGGGUACUGUGUAAAGGACUCCACAGCCAUCAACUUCCCUUCAUCCUUGCCGUGUCUUUGAAAGAGCUGAGAUUUCUUUACAUCACAGUGGUUCAAGGAGAAAAACACAGCCAGAUCCUUCCUCAUCUCAACAUAAAUUAAACCCAGAGGCAGUCAGCGCCACAGUCCACACUCGUAACCGUUACACUCACCUGGAAAUAAAAGUAUUUUUGUGCGGGGACUGCAAGGACUAAGCCCGGCCGCACUCCGAGUUUCUCCUCCUCACAGUUAAUUGUUUUCUUGGCACUCUCUCCCUUCUCACCUGUGACUACCUGAGUGUCCCCAGAGGCAAGGAACUAUGUGAGCCACUCCAGUGUUCCCAGCCCCAAGGCCAGGCACAGUGGACAUUUAUUGCUGAAUGAAUGAAUCAAGAGAGAGGAUCAGAAAGCUGCAGAGGAUGAUAGAUCUGCAAAAUUCUCCCUGGGUGAGGCCCAGGCUCAGCUUCCAGAACAGCUCCAUCUGUCUCCCACUCACUGAGAUUGAACUAAUGUCCCACAGUUGGACAGACCUGAAAUUGAGCUCUGUGAUUUUGGAUACCUGCCCCUCUGCUGGAGAUUCUGCAUGUCUGAGGUACCAGCCAUUGCCAGAAACUGGGCUAUGUUCUCUCCUUUCAUUGUGCCAUUUCAUUCUCACCCCAAAAUGAAAACACACAAAAAAAUCACUUUCUUCCCAAA
rnacentral:lncRNA from 1 species